rnacentral:rRNA from 1 species
UACGUAGGGUGCAAGCGUUAAUCGGAAUUACUGGGCGUAAAGCGUGCGCAGGCGGUUUUGUAAGUCUGACGUGAAAGCCCCGGGCUUAACCUGGGAAUUGCGUUGGAGACUGCAAGGCUUGAAUCUGGCAGAGGGGGGUAGAAUUCCACGUGUAGCAGUGAAAUGCGUAGAGAUGUGGAGGAACACCGAUGGCGAAGGCAGCCCCCUGGGUCAAGAUUGACGCUCAUGCACGAAAGCGUGGGGAGCGAACAGG